UUUCCCUGUUUCCCUGCUUUAAAAAGUUUUCUCACUUUCUUUGAAGGCUUUGACAGUUUUUGUACAGCAGUGUAAGAAGGUGCAGAUGUGAUCUGUAUGGACAGUAUGCAUAUAUUCUCAUUACCUGAUGCCUUCCAGUUUCUCAGCUUCACUGUGGUCCUGGAAUCCAGUCUUAGAAUUUCUGGUCAGGUCUAACAUGAGUACACACACACACACACACACACACACACACACACGCACAGAUACAUGCAUAAGCACAAGUACAGAUACGCACUCCCACGCUCCAUUCUGCCCUAACCCUAUAGCUAACCCAGAGAAUGACAUUUUAUUAGAGUCCAGGUAAGGUGUAAUUGGGCUAACUGUAUGUAGGAAAAAACCUAAUCACCAAAAGCAAGCAGCAGUGUCUACUGACCCACAGUUUCAGCAAGACCCACAAAGACCCAGUUCCCACUCACUCCCAUUGGCUCUACCCCAUCCCAAACGAGGGCAAUAGCAGGGCCUGAGGACGUGAGCAGUGUCCUAAGCUCAGAAGAGGCGGCUGCAAUGGUGGUGGUCCCUAGACCUGACUCCCAUGAAGCCCUUGGACCCCUGAUUUUUUAUAGGAGACAAACAGAGCAACUGCUCUUGGAGGAGCACGGGACCCCAGGAAUGGAAGGAAAGAGCUGGUCUCCCCAGGAUGGAGAAGCACCUGGGCCAUGUAGGUCUCCUGCUGCUUCUGGAUCCGGAAGUCAGACAUGUGAUUCCUGCAACGGAGCCAGCUGGUCGUAGGCUGGACAGCCCUGGGUAGGGGCCAGAAGUCAGGCUCCCCACUUCCAUCAACAACCCCCAGCCUGGCCCAGCGCCUCACCUGAAAAUCUGUUUCUGCUGGCUGAUAACUUGCUGUAAUUCUUUAAUCUCAUUCUCUUUGCCAUUAAGUAUAUCUUCUUGCUUUAUAA